AAACCCGUCGCCCUCCUUCAAGGGGUCCUUUAGAUUAUGCGGAGGCAGGAGAGCAAGUAUCCGAAGGCGAACUUAGAUUAACCUGGGGCGCAGCUCAGGUCACAGGAAAAACAAUUAAAAUGUGUUCUUCCCCCCCCCCCCACCUUCACUCAUUUUCUUUUUAUUGGAGAAAAAAAAAACCACCCCAAAUUUGGCCUUUUAAUGUGUUGUGUUUCCUCUAUUGAUUGUUUAGCUAGUGAUUUUGCCAACUUCCUGGAUGUUGGUUUCUGGUUCUGCACAAAAGAGCCACAUUUCCUUUUGGAACCGGGACCAGGAGAGAGCAGCGACACUGGAAGUGUUAAAGGUAAAAGAGGAGAGAAAAACACACCCAAACAAACCAGAAGACGCAUUUAGCAUCCAGUCUUCAACCCUAAACAGACUGUGCGGUCAGGGGAGGAAAAGAGCCUGCGGGACACAGUGCGUUCCCCCCUCCCGCUCCCCCCACGCGCUUCUCUGGGAAGGAGCCUGCGAUCCUGGGGGCUCCACUGAGGGGUCAGCCAGCACGUGUAAGCGGCCGUCAGGAGAGAGAAGCCUGCGAUCCUUUGUGCAAACAAGUGCCAGGAGCCCAAGUCCCUCCUGUCUCUCAGAAAUGAGCUCUUCUGAGCCCUUCGGGGAAACCAGCGCUUGAGGCCACCUUUCAGUGGCCUUGCCGGGGCCGCGGCGGAUUGGAAGGCGUCUGGGCAGGAGGCACGGGAGGGCCCCAAACAUUCUGGGCUGGACCCCGCAACGAGGCGUCGCUGUGAGGGAGACCGAGCGCGUUCCCCUCCCGGGAGCUGUCGCAGGGCCACAGAGCAGGAGCUGUCACAGCUGCAGUCCCAGGACGCUUGCAGAUGUGGCCGCAGAUCCAGCCUGGGCAAGGGCUCCACCAGCAACCCAUGCUGCCGUUGAGCCACAGUGGCUCUCUCUGACGUCCUAGAGCACCCCACUCCCUUGGAACCCUAAUCUUGGACACUCAGUCAUUUUUUUUAAAUCCUCACCCCAGGAUAUGUUUUUAUUGAUUUUAGAGAGAGAGGGCGGGAGAGAGAGUAGCGUCGAUUGGAGAGAGAAACAUCGAUCCAUUGCCUCCUGCACGCACGGAGACCAGGGGUCAAACCGGCAACCCGGGUGUGUGUUCUGAUCGGGAACUGAACCUGUAACCUUUUGUUUUGAUUAAUGAGUUGACUGUCUCCCCUGCCCAGAGUCUAAGCGUCAGGCUUGUUGCAUUCUUACGACAGGCCUGGUAUUUAUCCAGAGUCUGCAGUGUGGACAACCGGAGGGUGUCUCCCAACAAGUCACUGGGGUAGGGAAUUCCUGAGGUGUCACCCCUCGUCUGGAGGGGUAGAGAGGACUGGGAUUUGAAUCCCGGCCAGUGGGUCACAGACAACCACAUUCUUAAUCAGGGCCUCAUAGUGCUUCGCUGAUCAAUGUUUGUUGAGUGAAUAAAUGAACCGGUGAAUUUGAGAGGCAGUGGAGUGUAACGCCUAGAGCAAAGGUUUGGGGCAGGGCAGAUUUGGGUUCAAAUGGGGCUCUGCCCCUCCUUCACAGGUGACCCUCAGUGGAUUCCUUAAAUUUCCCGAGCCUUGGUUUCCUCCUAUAUAAAAUGGAGCUGGUAAUCUUUCUUUUUCAGGUUGUGAGGGUUUGAGAUUAUGAAUGAAAAGCCUGGGCCCCGUGGAAUAUGAUGGACGGAAGAUUGCAUCAUGAAUGUCUCUGGGUCAAUUCCCAGAAGCCCAGAAAUAACCAGCCAGAGGGGCAAGGCCACCCGGCAUCGCGUCUCGGUCAGCCACAAGCGGGGUGACCCUGGGUGAGUCUCUUGACUAGGCUGGGUCUUGGUUUUUAUUCUUCUGUCAUGGAAGGAAUGAGAGCCGGGCAGUGGUAAAGACUGAAUAAAUGUCUGCUCAGCAUCUCCACGAGGGCACUCCCAUGUCCUGCUGCUCUCCCAUGUUGCCUUGCCCUAGAAAGUGUGGCCCGGGAUCAGCAGCAUCAGUUGGCAUGCCCUGGAGCCAGUUAGAAAUGCAGAGUCUCAGGCCCUGCCCAGAGCUCUGAGCCAGAACCAGGGCUUUGUGAGCCUGGCCUGGCCGUUGGAGAAGCACUGCCCCGGGGCACUCGCCAGACAGAGGCCACCUGUCCCCGGGAGGCGAUUGCCUAGUAGUCCACUCUCUCUGAACCUGCCUACCCUCAGCCCCUGCCCUCGUCCCUCCCACGCCACUCUGCACUGCGGGGGCUAAGAGGCUGCAUUUCACAGGCUUUCUGCCCAUCACCCAGCUUCUGGCUGGGUCUGGCUGGCGAAAGGCACUGGUGAGAGCUUGGAGGGGGGUCUGGAGGAGGGAGAAGCCAGCAGGGCUCCUCCCUCUCCUCCUGCUCACCGUCUCAGAGGUGGUGCUGCUCGCACCGACAGGCUCUCACCGACCCUGGCUCCUCUAUGUCCCUUCAGUCCUGGGGUGCUAGCAAAUUCCUGACCAUGCUUAGCCCCUAGGCUCUCAGCUUCUCCAUCGCCAGAGCAACUGGUUCUAUGUAUUGAAUUCUCUUUGUUUUAAAUACUCAAGGAAGUUUCUGUUUUUCUUGGUUGGAUCUAGUGAUCCACCCAGGCUCAUGCUGCAAGGGUCUUGGAGUCAGAGGGUUUGGACAAGAGUUCCAGCUCUCCCGCUGACUUGUGCUGCACCCUGGACAGGUCACUCUUCUCAUGCCCAGGAUAGGAACUGGGCUCAGCGAUGGCCCCUCCUCUCCCGCUCCAGCAGUCCCUCUGGCCCUCGCCCAGGCCUUCCUAACCUGUGGCAGGUGGAGUGCAUAAAUGGCCUUAGGUCUUCACGCCUUCCUGGGUCCAAGCCCUUUGUCAAAGAUUUUGUAGCUCCUUCUACCAAGAGAUGGGUAGUUUUCUUGUCCUUGGACUCUGGGACUCACCGUCUGGUUUGCUUUGCUCAAUGGGAUGUUAGCAGACAUCACACAAGCAGAAGCUUGGAGAAACACCUGCUUCCACUAGCGCUCUCAAGCCUGUGCCAUCAGCAUGGGAAAUGCUGUAUUGUCCCAAGGAAGGAUGAGAGACAUGUAGAGCCUAGUCGCCCACUCACUGCAGUGGAUACCUACCUGACCACCCCACACGCACAGGCAAUAAAUGCUAUUCUCGUGUGCCGU